GAUGAACGCUGGCGGCGUGCCUAAUACAUGCAAGUCGAGCGAACAGACGAGGAGCUUGCUCCUCUGACGUUAGCGGCGGACGGGUGAGUAACACGUGGAUAACCUACCUAUAAGACUGGGAUAACUUCGGGAAACCGGAGCUAAUACCGGAUAAUAUAUUGAACCGCAUGGUUCAAUAGUGAAAGACGGUUUUGCUGUCACUUAUAGAUGGAUCCGCGCCGCAUUAGCUAGUUGGUAAGGUAACGGCUUUCCAAGGCAACGAUGCGUAGCCGACCUGAGAGGGUGAUCGGCCACACUGGAACUGAGACACGGUCCAGACUCCUACGGGAGGCAGCAGUAGGGAAUCUUCCGCAAUGGGCGAAAGCUUGACGGAGCAACGCCGCGUGAGUGAUGAAGGUCUUCGGAUCGUAAAACUCUGUUAUUAGGGAAGAACAAAUGUGUAAGUAACUAUGCACGUCUUGACGGUACCUAAUCAGAAAGCCACGGCUAACUACGUG
rnacentral:rRNA from 1 species